rnacentral:rRNA from 1 species
CGCUGGCGGCGUGCCUAAUACAUGCAAGUCGAACGGUCUUUCUAUGGAAGCUUGCUUCCACUGAGAAGAUAGUGGCGAACGGGUGAGUAACACGUGGGUAACCUGCCCAUAAGAGGGGGAUAACAUCCGGAAACGGGUGCUAAUACCGCAUAGUUUUCUUGAUUGCAUGAUUGAGAAAGGAAAGACGGCCUUUGUGCUGUCGCUUAUGGAUGGACCCGCGGCGUAUUAGUUAGUUGGUGAGGUAACGGCUCACCAAGACGAUGAUACGUAGCCGACCUGAGAGGGUGAUCGGCCACAUUGGGACUGAGACACGGCCCAAACUCCUACGGGAGGCAGCAGUAGGGAAUCUUCCGCAAUGGACGAAAGUCUGACGGAGCAACGCCGCGUGAGUGAAGAAAAGGUUUUCGGAUCGUAAAACUCUGUUGUCAGAGAAGAACAAGUUGGAGAGUAACUGCUCCAGCCUUGACGGUAUCUGACCAGAAAGCCACGGCUAACUACGUGCCAGCAGCGGC